GGUUUUGGUAACAAUUGAGAGAGUUGAAGUUCUUUCAUGAUCUUGUGAGAGGUGGUGCAUGGCCGUUCUUAGUUCGUGUAGUGAUAUGUCUGCCUAAUCGCGUCACGAUAACCUAUUGGUCGACAACCCAAUUAUCACAACUGCAGCAUAACUCCCCUUGGGUGGGCGAGGCUCUGUGUAGGAUAGACCUCUGAACAGUACGCAACGAACGCGAUCGUAAUCCCUUGUUU
rnacentral:rRNA from 1 species